UAACUGGCUCCUUUGGGAGCCAUGUUUUAUAUUGAAGAGGUAUUUUU
rfam:Thermoanaerobacterales bacterium 50_218 S_scaffold_58, whole genome shotgun sequence.